rnacentral:snRNA from 1 species
UUGCUUCAGCAGUACAUAUACUAAAAUUGGAAUGAUACAGAGAAGAUUAGCAUGGCCCCUGCGCGAGGAUGACACGCAAAUUCAUGAAGCGUUCCAUAUUUUU